GCUUGAGCUGGUUAUAUCUGCAUGGCCUUCAGAGCAUAGCUUCAGGGUGAGCUGGCCCCAUCUCUGCUGGAGUUUCCUUCCCCAGAAAGCCAGACACCCUUGAUCUCUCCUUAGGCUAGAGCAAGGGCCGGUAUAUGUUAGCAAUGUAUAUAAUCAUAGAGUUUGUGCUCGAGUCCUGGCUUAACCUGGCAGGACCAAGGAAACCUGAAAUAUUACUCCAGUAUUAAUAACAGGUUAUAGUAGUAAUAAUGAUGAUGUGACCUGAAAUAUCUAAGAGCUCCUGAUGGGUUUUAUGUAUUGAUUGCUUCAAACUUUUUUUAAAGCUGCAGGUGCAUGGGUGAGAAAUCAGUCUCCUAAGCACAACAGAUAGAUAGAUUCUUACAUAGAAUUCUACUCUUCAUAGCCAGCAGAAGGUAUGAAUCAUACAAGAUUAUAAUGGCCAAUUAUAAUAUUAUAUCAGUUGGAAAAUGGCUCAUUGGGGUACCUGCUUUGCAAAGAGGAACACAUCAGCACAUGAAUAAAAUUGCAAGUGAAGAGAAGAAUUGAUUAAAUAUGGCUUUAGGAGGGUGUGAAGAAGUUUUCUAUCAAUACUUAAAGGUAUUGAUCUGCAUAUUCAAAAGACGAUAAUGAGUUUAGAGGGAGAGUUCCAUUUUUGGGUGCCCUAUUUUAGGCAAUUUAGGUAACAAUUUUGAGUUUAAAGGCAUUAGUACUUAGCAUUCUCCAAAAAUCUAGUACUGGGCUCACUGAAUAAUGCAUUUCUUAAAAAAAAAAAUAAAAAAAAAAUCAGGACAUCUCAAAAACAUUUGCAGUUAUAAUUUGUAGGAAUUUUUUUAAAGUGUCAUUUCAGAGCCAGCACACAAACAGGUUCAACCUCUCUGAAGAUAAUGGCUGUUUACCAAUCCCUGACUGGCUUUAGCCUGCAAAUACAUGACCUGAUUUUUGAUCAGUAAAAUGGCUAGAUCAUGAUGUUAUAAUCCAGCAAUAUAGAAAAAAAGAGGACUUUUAAACUGCAGUCAAAGGUAUGAUCACAGCUGAGUGAACUUAACCUACUGAAUCCAGCUGCCACCUCUACAGUGGUGAAGAAGACACUUCUGCUCAGGCUGUACAAACCCACUACAGUUUCUGGGAAAGUGUUUGGACUGAAAGCCAAAACCCUGUCCUGAAAGCUGGAAGGCAAAGAUCUGUUCAAAACUACUGUCAUUCAAAGCUAAACAAAUUAAAGCUAAACUUCCAGUGGCAGGGCUGUUAUCUCCAGGCAAAAAUUACUCUUGGGUCAAGAAACGAAAGGGUGGGCACUUCAGAUAAAAUCAUGUUUCCAAAACACUUAUAAGCUACAAUAUCCUUUCCAGACGUGGAAAGCUCAUCCAGAAUGAAGGAGCACCUCAAUAACUGUUAAUGAAGAACAUAACGUUCUAGCUUUUGGGGCUAUAUCUUUUUAGAAUAGGAAAUAUCUCCUGAAGCACUUCCUUUCAUCUAUGUUUACUGUGAUCCAAGUCAUUGAAAUGGAAGUUUUCAAAGCACUUACACGGUCCUGUUUCAUUACUGAAUGUGAGUUAAGCUUUUGGGACUUUGCAUCCAUUAGGAUGCCAUUAUAAAGAAAUCUGAAAGACAGAAUUUUGACUUAGAAGUUUGGCUUAUAAAUUUGGCUUAUAAGUGCUCUGGAAAAUGCUAUUUUAUCUAUGAUUCCCAAGCUUGCAUUUCUUGGCCAAAGAAAUAAGGCUGUAACAGAGCAAGGAAGUGAAUGUAGACAUCCCAAAUGCCAAGGUAGUCUGUUCGACUUCAAUGUGUCAAAAAAAUGGCUACCUUGAAUUCAUGUGUGAGGGUAACAGAUUAUCUAGUGAAUUUUGGGGAGUUAAAGAACACUCCUCAUGUCAGACCAUUCAAAUGCUUAUGUGUAAUAUAAUAGUUAUUUCCAGGUCAGUUUUCCUCCAUUCUCCUCUAACUACAUAGCCCUGAUGGAGACUGAUCUAAGAUCUGAAGAUACUAAUGGAAACUGUAGUGGAAAUACCAUGAUUUCCAUUUGUUUCUGUAGAUCCCAGAAGAAACCACCUAAGAGAAAAACUGAAGAACCACAAAGGAACAAAAAUAGCUAGUGCUGGUCAUUGAGCUGUCAUUGUAGAAGCUUUUGUCUUGAAAUGGAGACAUUCACCUAAAAGCACGUUAAGCCAAGCAUGCUUAUCUCCAGAAGUAUUUCUAUACUGAUUCUGGAAAUCAGGUACUUAUUAAUAAGUGGGAAAGAUUCAAUAUAGUUACUUCCCUGUGCACUAUCAGAAAAGACAAAAAUAAUUCCCUGGCCUGCUUUAGGCACAGAAAGUAGCAAGAUAGGAAAAGGCUUUUCUUCUUUUUGCACUUUUUUUCUCUCACCCAUGGUGCACAGCACUGAACACAGUAAAUUUAUUUUGCAGUUCAUAACAUGUCAGCUUUGCUGUGUUUCUUUUAGCAGGGGAAGAUAAUUUCUUAAACUUUUAUCAAAUUUUUGCUUCGCUCCUGCUCUCCCAGAGCUCAUAAUGCAAAUGCUUUCAGCUUUUCUAUUUCUUUGCUUGCAUCCAUUCUACUUUGAAAGAGCAUUAUAUAUAAUUUUGCUCCCUUUUCAUGCUCUUUUAUGAAACUCAGAGCUUAAUGUUUGCAAGAAACUUAUGCUGCUGGUAAGCUUUCAUUCUGGAAACACAGGGAGGUGUCUGCUUGACAGUUACCUGUACUGCUGCUGAGGCCGUCUCUGCAGGGGUCUCACCUGGCCUGGCUUGGGCCAAAUCAGCAAUAUGAAAAGGCAUUUUGAGUGUGAAAGAUAAAACCUUUUUUCUCACACUCUCUGCCAGGAAACCCCACCUAUUCAGGAAAAAAAACCCCAAAC